CACCAAUUACAAAAAAGUCAAACUAACAAACAAACAAGGGAAGGGAGAAACUGGGAAGGAAAUAUUCGCCUCCUGUCAUUAAUAAAAUUAAGAUUAUAGUUGCACUAAAGCUAGUAUAAUCUACAACUUUAUAACAUGACAGGAGGCUUCAUAUGUGCUGUUUUAACGCUCUGACAGCAAAGCAACAGAAGCAUGAUCUGACGGUCUAAAAUAGAAUUGGCGAAAUGUAUCCUCUUGGGACCAGUCCGCCAUGGAAGCUCCAGAAACUGCGGCGCCUCUAACUGAAUGUGUUCCGAAGGUCCAAUUCACCCCCACCAACGACAAUAACCAUCUUAUCCGCCGUGCCAGGGUAGGAGAUGAGACCGGGUUGUGGGGUCUGACAUACGAAAUCAACAACUGGC